rnacentral:rRNA from 1 species
UAAGGAAUAUUGGUCAAUGGACGCAAGUCUGAACCAGCCAUGCCGCGUGAAGGAUGAAGGUCCUCUGGAUUGUAAACUUCUUUUAUCUGGGACGAAAACGGGAUUUUUAUCUCAAUUGACGGUACCAGAGGAAUAAGCACCGGCUAACUCCGUGCCAGCAGCCGUGGUAAUACGGAGGGUGCGAGCGUCAUCCGGAUUUACUGGGUUUAAAGGGUGCGUAGGUGGGCUUAUAAGUCAGUGGUGAAAUCUCCGAGCUUAACUUGGAAACUGCCGUUGAUACUAUAGGUCUUGAAUUAUCUGGAGGUAAGCGGAAUAUGUCAUGUAGCGGUGAAAUGCUUAGAUACGACAUAGAACACCAAUUGCGAAGGCAGCUUACUACAUAUAAAUUGACGCUGAGGCACGAAAGCGUGGGGAUCAAAC